GACCGAUGACUGGGGUGAAGUCGUAACAAGGUAGCCGUAUCGGAAGGUGCGGCUGGAUCACCUCCUUUCUAAGGAA
rnacentral:rRNA from 1 species